CGGGAGAUGGUUUCACUAACUUAGGCGGUGCUCUGGGUAGUUUUGUGCAAUGGCCCAUACACUUAGUGAUUUUCGAAGACGGCGAGGAUUGUACUUCACCUCCUAAAAAGAAGUCCAAGUCUAAUGUUUCUAAAGAGAGGGAUGGUAGCUCCAAGAAAAAGACAACGGUAUUAGCGGCCCAAAAGAAGACAACAGACUUAGCAUCCAAGGAAUUUUCGCAUCCAAAGAAGUCGAAUUCUAAGCCUAAGUCCA